UACGUAGGGUGCGAGCGUUAAUCGGAAUACUGGGCGUAAAGCGUGCGCAGGCGGUAAGUUAAGUCUGAUGUGAAAGCCCCGGGCUCAACCUGGGAAUGGCAUUGGAAACUGGCUUGCUAGAGUGUGGCAGAGGGGGGUGGAAUUCCGCGUGUAGCAGUGAAAUGCGUAGAGAUGCGGAGGAACACCGAUGGCGAAGGCAGCCCCCCUGGGCCGACAUUGACGCUCAGGCACGAAAGCGUGGGGAGCAAACAGG
rnacentral:rRNA from 1 species